GCUGUCGGGCUGAAAACAAGGUUAUCGCAAUUUAUUUCGACAGAUUUCAGAAGAAGGAAAAAGCAAACCUAGUAAGAGUAUUGGUGGUUGCAAAUUGUAUUUUAACUAGCACACGAGAAAGGAAAGUUUAAUUGGCAGUAAAAGGUGACAACGCAAG